UGUAGUGUAGCUCAGGGGUAGAGCACUUGCCUAGUGUGUACGAGGCCCUGGGUUCCAUCCCUAGCACCACAA
rnacentral:tRNA from 1 species